rnacentral:lncRNA from 1 species
GACCUUUUAGAUCCUUUUCUGCACAUUUUCCUGACUGCCGAAUCAUGGGGCUAAGUUCUCGGAACACCUAUUUUUGCUCUAUGAGGAAAAGAUGUGAAAAUAAAGCACAAGCAAACUUCUUUUCCCUCUCUUCCUGGAAAACUAGCCUGCAUUUACAGACAGAAGACACAGAAGCCAUAAUGUCAUUUUCCACAAAAUUAUUUCAUGUCUUUACUGGACCCCAAAUUUAAACUGCAAUCCAGUCAUUCAGAUGUGCUGGAAUUAGGCAUUACCUGUGCAAGAACAGUGAAAGAGAUUGUACUGUAUUGUGGAAUCAUGCAAAAGGGAAAAAAAAAAGUUUCAUGGUGUCUGUUAUGGCAAUUUUUUUUUCGACCCUACAGUUUUUAGUAAUGUGUUUUAAUCCAAGGGGAUAGGAACUAAACUAGUGCCUACUAUUAACUGACUCUGCCUUUUGUUAAAGGCUAAAUCUGCAGUGCUCCUAGUACCAGCAGGUUCCUUUCUUAGUGUGUAGACUACUACAGUAAAUUCUCACAUUUCUAGUGUACUUUGCCAUGGGUCUAAUUUUGAAAAUAACAUGCAUUGACUUUAUAGGGUGUUGAAUGAACAGCAUAUUCAACAGAUAUCACCAUGUGCCUACUCUGUGUCCAACACUGUGCUUGGGCCCCUAGGGAAGAUACAAAAGUAUUUAUGGCAAGGGCUCUUCCACCAGUGCCAAAAAGUGAGUAGUGACUAAUGAAAAAGUUGGUAAAACCUAUUUGACUAAAAUGAAAUUCUUAGUGAUAUAGACCAUAAAUCCAUGAUUAGAAAGCCAUUUGAUUUAAAGCCUGACAUAAUGGGGCUUUUUGCUUCAAGCUAUUUUAAUAAGGACCCUCAGUGACUAAUUGCUGUGGGUAAAUUCCAAGAUAAAUUAGUUUUAUACAGAGUUCUGUAAAUAGUAAUUUUGUAUUUGAUUAGUACAAUUAGCUGAGUCAUAAAGCAAGUUUUACCUCUGUGCAUUUGUUGCAUACAUACUUGAAAAGCUCACUCAACACUAGGUGCUUCAAUUCUAUUUCUUCCUUAAAAAAUUAAAAGCUGCGGACAACAUUUCCUCAUUAAAGUAUUAUAGUUUAGGCAGAAUUUCAAUUACAAAGUGGGAAUCACCAGUAAAGAUAAAAGUUUUAUUCCUGAAAUAAGUGCUUAGGAGAUAUUGAUGAGUGAUUUUUGUGUUAUUGGGAAUUGACAUGGGGCAGUGGGGAGAGAGUUUAAAUUUUGAAGGUGAUCUGGUUUAGAUUUGAAUUCCAGCUGUAUGACAUUGAUCAAAUUAGUAAUAGUCCUGAGUGCCAGUUUCCUCAUCUGUAAAAUGAGGAGGGGAAUAUUUCACAGCUCAUUAUGAACAUUUCAGGAAAUAAGUGAAGAUGCCAAUACUUAGUUAUUUUAGGAUGCCCUCUAUUUUAUGUCUGAAAUUGUAUCUCAAGAUGUGUUACAGAAUAAAUCUGAAAUAAAAAGGAAG